AAAACCUAUCGCCCUCGAGCGAGGUCUCCCUUCGUCGCCGCCCUCCAUCCGCGCUGAACACGUCCACGAUCCGCCGCAGAACACCUCGAGGCUCCGGCGCUGAUCCUGAACGAGGUCGCCGCCGCCCUUCAUCCCUUUGCCGACGCGCUUCACUCGCCGCGCUUCACUCGCCGCCCUUCAUCCCUUCGCCGCCGCGCUUCACUCGCCAUCCAGGAUCCGCCGCAAAGCACGUCCAGGAUCCGGCGCUGAUCCUGGACGAGGAUGCGCGUACGAAAUAUUGCUUCGCCGCCGGCCUCCAUCGAACACGUCCAGUAUCCGGCCCGAACACGUCCUGGAUCCGAGAAAUAGACCAUGACACUUGAAGAUAUGGACGCUGCAAAUCUGCGCCGACCUCCUCUACGUGAUAUCUCUAAUGUUGACCAUCAUUCUCAUAUGUCUCCAGUGCCAGUAGUGAGCUCGGAAAACUUAACUCCGUUUGGAUCCCGAUGGGAACGGAUAAAUCUUGCUAAACAACUACGAGCGCGCAAGAGAACUGGGCAGAUGGACGCGAGAAAUGACCAAAGUCGGCAUCUUCAUGACAUCACUAAUAUUGAUCAACUCUCCAAAGGGAGUCCAGGGAUUGUUCAACAAGAUCAUGGCCCACAUAGAUCAACUGGCCUAUUCAUACAUGAAGCAACAAUCCCUUCUACCACCAACAUGACACCCUUAAAUGAUGCCAGCAUUUGUACCCUGAUAAAUCUCACAGAUUCUUCGAGGGGUAAAUCAGGUUCAGCAUUAUUAAUCAUUUUUCCCUAACAUACUUUAGUAAAUUUAUGGUGCAUGAUCUGCUUCUGGAUUUAAGUAAUUUAAUUAUUUUGGACAUUUGCAUUUGUAAACAAUUAUAUUCUCUACAUUGCCUGAUGAUAUGAUUUGCAUUUGCAUUUGUAAUUUGUCGUCCUAUAUAUUGUAAACCUCCUCUGCCAUCCCUUCUCCC